GCCUCGUUAUAUCAGUCGGUAGAUAGUUUGGCUUUUACUCUUGCCCCUCUUGGGCAAUGAGUGACCAAAACGUCACGGGUUCGAGCCCCGUACGAGGCU